rnacentral:rRNA from 1 species
UACAGAGGGUGCAAGCGUUGUUCGGAAUUAUUGGGCGUAAAGCGCGUGUAGGCGGCUUGUUUAAGUUCGGGUGUGAAAGCCCUUCGGCUUAACCGAGGGAAGUGCAUCCGAAACUGGACGAGCUAGAGUACUAAAGAGGAUCGCGGAAUUCCCGUGUAGAGGUGAAAUUCGUAGAUAUCGGGAGGAACACCGGUGGCGAAGGCGGCGAUCUGGGUAGAUACUGACGCUGAGGUGCGAAAGCGUGGGGAGCAA